rnacentral:rRNA from 1 species
GACGGAGGAUGCAAGUGUUAUCCGGAAUCACUGGGCGUAAAGCGUCUGUAGGUGGUUUAAAAAGUCUACUGUUAAAAAUUGAAGCUUAACUUCAAAGAUGCCGUAGAAACUUUUAAACUCGAGGAUGGUAGGGGUAGAGGGAAUUUCCAGUGGAGCGGUGAAAUGUGUAGAUAUUGGAAAGACCACCGAUGGCGAAAGCACUCUGCUGGGCCGACACUGACACUGAGAGACGAAAGCUAGGGGAGCGAAUGGG